rnacentral:rRNA from 1 species
GCCGCAAGGCAAGUACAGCGGCGUAAGGGUGAGUAAUGGUUCGUCAACGUACCGAGCAGACGUGAAUAAUUUCCCGAAAGGGAUUGUAAUGCACGAUGAGACCACGGGCUGUACGCAGUCUGGGGUCAAAGGUCGGGGAUCCUUCGGGACCCGGCGCUGUUUGAGCGGACGAACUCUGAUUAGCUAGUUGGCGGGGUAACGGCCCACCAAGGCGGUGAUCAGUAGCCGGGCUGAGAGGCUGUCCGGCCACACGGGCACUGAGAUACUGGCCCGACUCCUACGGGAGGCUGCAGUCGCGAAUUUUUCACAAUGGGCGCAAGCCUGAUGAAGCCACGCCGCGUGCGGGAUGAAGGCCCUCUGGGUUGUAAACCGCUGUCGAGGGAGGGGAACCGCUGCAAGUGAAUAGCUUGCAGUCUGACUGCUCUCUGAAGGAAGCCCCGGCAAAACAUGUGCCAGCAGCCGCGGUAAUACAUGUGGGGCAAGCGUUGUUCGGAAUUACUGGGCAUAAAGGGUGCGUAGGUGGUUUGUUAAGUCAGGGGUGAAAUCCCGCGGCCCAACCGUGGAACUGCCUUUGAUACUGGCGAACUUGAGUGCGUGAGGGGUAGGGGGAACGAGCAGUGUAGCGGUGAAAUGCGUAGAUAUUGCUCGGAAGGCCAGAGCCGAAGGGGCCCUACUGGUGCGCAACUGACACUGAGGCACGAAAGCGUGGGGAGCAAACAGGAUUAGAUACCCUGGUAGUCCACGCCGUAAACUAUGAGCACUAGAUGGAUGCCGAGCUAUCGGUGUCUGUCGGAGGCAAUUUGGUAAGUGCUCCGCCUGGGGAGUAUGGUCGCAAGGCUGAAACUC